UGGGGAAUAUUGCACAAUGGGCGCAAGCCUGAUGCAGCCAUGCCGCGUGUAUGAAGAAGGCCUUCGGGUUGUCCGGUACUUUCAGCGUUGAGGAAGGUGUUGCGGUUAAUAACCGCAGCAAUUGACGUUACCCGCAGAAGAAGCACCGGCUAACUCCGUG
rnacentral:rRNA from 1 species